rnacentral:rRNA from 1 species
UACGUAGGGGGCUAGCGUUGUCCGGAUUUAUUGGGCGUAAAGAGCGUGUAGGCGGCCAGGUAGGUCUGCUGUGAAAACUCGAGGCUCAACCUCGAGACGUCGGCGGAAACCAUCUGGCUAGAGUCCGGAAGAGGAGAGUGGAAUUCCUGGUGUAGCGGUGAAAUGCGUAGAUAUCGGGAGGAACACCUGAGGCGAAGGCGGGCUACUGGGCUGAUACUGACGCUGAGGCGCGAAAGCCAGGGGAGCAAACGGG